rnacentral:rRNA from 1 species
AGGACGAACGCUGGCGGCGUGCUUAACACAUGCAAGUCGAGCGAUGAAGCUCCUUCGGGAGUGGAUUAGCGGCGGACGGGUGAGUAACACGUGGGUAACCUGCCUCAUAGAGGGGAAUAGCCUUUCGAAAGGAAGAUUAAUACCGCAUAAGAUUGUAGUACCGCAUGGUACAGCAAUUAAAGGAGUAAUCCGCUAUGAGAUGGACCCGCGUCGCAUUAGCUAGUUGGUGAGGUAACGGCUCACCAAGGCGACGAUGCGUAGCCGACCUGAGAGGGUGAUCGGCCACAUUGGAACUGAGACACGGCCCAGACUCCUACGGGAGGCAGCAGUGGGGAAUAUUGCACAAUGGGGGAAACCCUGAAUGCAGCAACGCCGCGUGAGUGAUGACGGCCUUCGGGUUGUAAAACUCUGUCUUUGGGGACGAUAAUGACGGUACCCAAGGAGGAAGCCACGGCUAACUACGUGCCAGCCGCCGC